GGGUUAAAACUGAUAGCGACCUAGAAAAUAACAGCUUAAAAUCUGGGAGACGGGUAGGGAAAGGCCCUAGGGCUUUAGCAGAGGUAAAGACCAAAGAUGCAGGAGGGGAAACUGAUGGACGGUAGACUGCCGAGAGCCAACAAAGAGUCGUGUGGCGCCUUAAAGACUAACAAGUUUGUUGUGGCGAAGGUUUUCGUGGACCAGAUCGUCAGGUGUAAGAAAUGUUAUCCUGCUUCCAAGUAUGCACGUUUGAUAUACUGUAUUAAGAGCAAUCCUAUAUUUACUCAGAUAUCUUACUGUGUUCAAUGGAGCUCACUAGACUUUUUUUACUUCACAAUGAAUUGCAAAUUAGGUUCUAUGCAAGUAAGUACAACGUGAUACAAUUUUUUGUUGUUUAAAAGCCUUAAACUUCACAUAUACCCUGAUGAGAUCUGCACUGCCUUCGAUUAACCAGGAAGGAGCCCUUGGAUAAUAGUCAUGGCGGAUAGCUCAAUGAAAGCGUCUGCUUGGUAACUGAGCGAAGAGGCACCUUUUAAAAGUGGCGAUUCUCUUUAUUGAGCAGGUGGAGAGCAACUGGCGCUGUCUAUCCCCAGCACACAUCGCUCCAGUGUUUCUUUUUUAGAUUGUGAGCUUGUUGGGAACCUUUGAGGAGACAGAAUGGACAGAUAAAGGGAAACAACUGAUGGAUUCCGUCUGAGAAAUACUCAUAGUCCAACAGAAAAACAAUAGCAAGACACCAUUGCUGAAACUUAUUGAAGAUUAAUUGAACUUAUUGGACAUUUGAAAAAGACACAUUGAAACAGCGUAUAAUACCAGAAAGCUGUUGUAGUCUCAUAGUUUUCGAUAUUAUUGUUCUAUUGUUUGUAUAUAUGUAUUGUUAUAAAUGUUUGGUAAUUACA